rnacentral:rRNA from 1 species
AACGAACGCUGGCGGCAUGCCUAACACAUGCAAGUCGAACGAGACCUUCGGGACUAGUGGCGCAUGGGUGCGUAACGCGUGGGAACGUGGCCUAAGGUUCGGAAUACCUCCCCGAAAGGGGUGCUAAUAACGGAUAAUGUCUUCGGAACAACGCUUUAUCGCUUUUGAUUGGGCGCGCGUUGGGUUAGAGAGUUGGUAGGGUAAAAGCCUACCAAGGCGACGAUCCAUAGCUGGUUUGAGAGGAUGAUCAGCCACACUGCGACUGAGACACGGCCCAGACUCCCACGGGAGGCAGCAGUGGGGAAUAUUGGACAAUGGGCGAAAGCCUGAUCCAGCCAUGCCGCGUGAGUGAUGAAGGCCUUAGGUUUGUAAAGCUCUUUUACCCGGGAUGAUAAGGACAGUACCGGGAGAAUAAGCCCCGGCUAACUCCGG